UGAGAAGUGAGUUUUUG
rnacentral:misc_RNA from 1 species